GUCCAGCACCCCAUGAGAAAGCCACCCACUGGAAUUUCCAGGGCCAUUUCCCACCUAGCCUCUGAUGCUUGUCUCCCUGGGCAUGUUCAUCUUAUCGAUCAUCCAGCUCCACCUCCUUGGUCUCCACUGCUGACUUCCUCUUUCCUUCUCCAGGACGGCCGAGAGUUACCCGCACCAGUGAUUGUUGACAUUGACAGCUCUGAGACAAUGAAACCCUGCAAGGAAAACUUUACUGGAUCUGAGACCCUAAAGCAUUUAGUCCUGCAAUUCCUGCAGCA
rnacentral:sRNA from 1 species